UACAUGUGGGGCAAGCGUUGUUCGGAAUUACUGGGCGUAAAGCGCGCGCAGGCGGCUAUCCAAGUCAGUGGUGAAAGCCCGGAGCUCAACUCCGGAACUGCCAUUGAAACUGUUUAGCUUGAGGAUGAGAGAGGUGAGUGGAAUUCCCAGUGUAGAGGUGAAAUUCGUAGAUAUUGGGAAGAACACCGGUGGCGAAGGCGGCUCACUGGCUCAUUACUGACGCUCAGGCGCGAUAGCGUGGGGAUCAAACAGG
rnacentral:rRNA from 1 species